rnacentral:lncRNA from 1 species
GGAGGAUCAACUAGUCUAUAUUAAAAAAUUAUAAUAAUCAAUAAAAGGUAAAUCUAAUCAUUUAAAUAGUUGUACUAUAAUCUAUAACUUGAACUAAUGAUACUAUGACUUAUGCCUAGCCUUUAUUCAAUUUUAUUAAAUAAAGAAAAGGCGAAUACAGGAUCCCAGAGUGGCACACUAUAUUUUACAAAUAUUUUAAAGUUUUUUCUUAAAUUGUAAUAUUGAGAGUCUUAAUGAUACUGAACAUGAUUCAGUAAAUUAAAUCAGAUAUCAAAGGAGAGUUUAAACCAUCAAUAUCAUCAUGAUAUUGACUGAGAAACCUGGCACAGAAAGGUCAAUUUCCAGCUACAGAGUUUAUAGCCAGGCAGCUUCACGAAAUUGUCAAGUAAAUAAAAAUUAUGAAAAGACUUGUAUGGACCCAUUUUUCAGGUCCACCUUUAAUGCGUCUUGCAAUGUGGACUGGAAAGUCUAUCCAUGAAACUAGAUUGAUUUUCCUGACUGUAAUGGUCAGUUAUACCUAUAUAUUGAUUCUAUGGUAAACAGACUGUCUGGAAGUAUCUUUUGAGAAAAAGACAGUGUUGAAAUAACGGAUUGUUUGACACCCGUAUGGAUGGCGGCUAUGGACCAGAUGUGAGUAACACCAACUAAGAGUCAGUUCUAUGAGGGAUCAUGCCCUGAGUCUUAGCACUACUCCUCUUCAUCUACCUCUCAGCUUUGUCACAAUAUUACUGUUUGUCUGUCUAUGGCUUUUCUCCUUCCUUCCAGAACGCAGCCUCACCAGCUCGGUGCUGUGAGCUGGGCCCUCCAUGGAGAAAAAACCUGAGUUUGUUGAUCCUGAGGUAAAUGCUGGUGUGGAGGCCACAGGGGCAUUAUCUAUCAAGGAGACAGAGAGCACUCUCGGGGACAAUGCCUUGCACACUCCACAUAACCCUGUUUGGCCCUGGAGGAUAACUGGUUAGUCAAUGGAGGAACAACCUAAGACAGACACAGUUGCAGAGGGGCCAUCAGGAGAAAAUUUGGGGGCCAACAGAGGUAAGGCACAGAAUCUCACCCCCCCACACCUGUGCAAAGGCCUAAUUCUUCUCCCCUUCUGAGAGAGGUCUCCUGCCCCAUGACUGCUUUGCUUCCCACAUCCAGCUCAGGUUGGAACCCAAGUAACAGAGACCUAGUCAACAGUGACUGCCUGCUCCCCACAGCAGGAAACAACUGCAGCUACACGAAUGGGCCAUGUCUGGAUGCUUUCCUCUUUCUUGGUUCCCAUUUGUUUUUUCUAUACUUUUCCCUUUUCCUUUCUUAAAUCAGGGUUCUCCUUUGGCAAUAAAUUUAAUAAAGGGAGAAAAUGUUGGAAUGACCUUAUUUAGAGUUUCCUCACAGUGUGAUUACAUUAGACAAAUGAUUGGCUUAUGGGUAUUAUUUUAAGUAUAAUUAAUGGACACGCCUCAGUUGUGUGUAUUCCAAAAAGAAACUGAGCUACUGGACAUCAACUUGAGGUUUGUCACCAGCCACUUAUCACCUGCUCCCGUGACUGAGGUAGCCAAAGUAGCCAAGCAACAAAUUGACCACACCAGUGACAGAAACUUAUGCUAGACAGCAGAUAAAAGACCCAAGCCAGCCAAUUAUGCUGGACUUUAGUGACUAAGACUACAUUUACCUAUAUGGACAAUUGUUGGGAAGAUUAUUAAAACAGAUUUUUCCAAGAGUAUUUAUAUUACUGACAGACCUAAUUAACUCCUUAAAUGUGAGAGUUAAGAGAAAAAAAUGAUAAAUACCCUGUAGCCUGUAAGAAUACAACUUAUUGUAUCGUUAGUUGUUGCCAGCUAAUAUUUCAGAGCUAUAAUAUGCUGAAGUUAAUAUUCAGGCUUUAAAACAGGUGUAUGUCAAUUAACCAGACCUAGGCAAACAGCUGGUCUCAUAAUCCCUGAAGUGACUACUUUAAAUAUUAUUCCUUGCUUAUUCAAUUGCAGCCUUUGUGGCUAUGUCUUAAAACUUACAAUGUAUGGAUUUUCUUAAUGUUUGACUUAAAUUGCUUCCAAAAUCCUUCAUGUUCAGAUAAGUGCUGAUGAAAGGAUGAAAACUAAGUAAUGAUGUUCUAGAAGACAAUGUAAUGAAUAAUGUGAGUGAGCCCUUUGCUCUAUGGUUUAUGGAGAGACCUAAAUGCCAUGGCAAUGAAAAUGUCUGUUACUAUGGCCAAACACAAUGCGUCCCAAUAAAAUUGGGAAAAGAUUAAAAUCUUCUGAUGAGUAUUUGUCGAAGUAAUAAUAGUCCAGAUUAUUGUGUUGUGUUAUGAAGAUAAUAUGUUUUCUACUAAUUCUUUUUGUGUUUCAGUAGCAGAUUGUGAUGACCUUGGACCAAGAGCCAAGUGACUGAAAGAAAAUUUCCCAGUUGCAUUAUUUUUUUUAUAUAUUAAGAAAGGGGGAAUAUGUGGGAGACCAACCUUACACGUGACUGGGUUACACUCCCUGGCUGGGUGCUGAGGUGCUCAGUCACAGAAAUGUGGUCAGUGUCUCGUGCAUGGGUGUGUCUUGCUACAGCCCCAUGGGUGAAGCUAUACUCACCUGUUCCUUUGUAAUAUAACCCCUUGCCCUGUUUAGGAUAGAAUCUUCCAUGGAAGUGCCUUGUGUGUGUCCCCUCCUCUUACUGUGCCCUUGAGUGUGGCAUACCCGGGUGUCGGUCAACCUGCUAAGAGUGGACAUCAUGAAGAUACUCAGCCCCCUGAAACUUGACCCCUUGCCUCAUUUGAAUAGCUUCCCUCAAUAAAAGGGGUCAGUUCUCGCUCUCUCUCUCUCUCUCUCUGCGGACCGUUAAGGUCAGAGGAGCUGGACCCUUAAGAUCAGAGGAGCUGUCACAGCGACCUCAAAGAAAAAGGUAUUGUCUCUUGUGUGGUUAUUUCGUGCAGCCCAGUUAGCCCAGUUUAACUAGAGUGACCCCUGAGCCUUUUAGUCGCGAGAACAGAAACCCGGCACCCAUCCC